rnacentral:rRNA from 1 species
UCAUAUGCUUGUCUCAAAGAUUAAGCCAUGCAUGUCUAAGUACAUACCGUAUUAAGGUGAAACCGCGAAUGGCUCAUUAAAUCAGUUAUGAUUCAUUGGAUGUUGAAACAAUUACAUGGAUAACUGUGGUAAUUCUAGAGCUAAUACAUGCCGAAAAACUUCGUCGCAAGGCGGAGUGCAUUUAUUAGACCAAGACCAAAGGUGGCAACACCUUUCAGUGGUGACUCUGGAUAACUGCAGCUGACCGCAUGGCCUCGCGCCGGCGGCAUAUCCUUCGAGUGUCUGCCUUAUCAACUGUCGAUGGUAGGUUAUGUGCCUACCAUGGUUGUAACGGGUAACGGGGAAUCAGGGUUCGAUUCCGGAGAGGGAGCCUGAGAGACGGCUACCACAUCCAAGGAAGGCAGCAGGCGCGCAAAUUACCCACUCUCAGAACGAGGAGGUAGUGACGAAAAAUAACAAUACGGGCUUCGCUUAUGCGUUCUCGUAAUUGGAAUGAGCACAGUUUAAAUCCUUUAGCGAGGAUCAAUUGGAGGGCAAGUCUGGUGCCAGCAGCCGCGGUAAUUCCAGCUCCAAUAGCGUAUAUUAAAGUUGUUGUGGUUAAAAAGCUCGUAGUUGGAUCUCAGCUCGUGCCUGGUGGUCCACCUGACGGUGGCUACUGCCAGGCCGAGCACUUUGCCGUAUCGUCCUGCGGUGUUCUUCACUGAAUGUCGUAGGUGGUCGGCACGUUUACUUUGAAAAAAUUAGAGUGCUCAAAGCAGGCAUUAUCGCCUGAAUACUGUUGCAUGGAAUAAUGGAAUAGGACCUUGGUUCUGUUCUGUUGGUCUUCGGAAUCGAGGUAAUGAUUAAGAGGGACGGACGGGGACAUUAGUACUGCGGCGAUAGAGGUGAAAUUCUUGGACCGCCGCAUGACUAACUAAAGCGAAAGCAUUUGUCAAGAACGUUUUCAUUAAUCAAGAACGAAAGUUAGAGGUUCGAAGGCGAUCAGAUACCGCCCUAGUUCUAACCAUAAACGAUGCCAACUAGCAAUCAGCCAGAGUUUUUAGAGACUCGGCUGGCGGCUUCCGGGAAACCAAAGUUUUUCGGUUCCAGGGGAAGUAUGGUUGCAAAGCUGAAACUUAAAGGAAUUGACGGAAGGGCACCACCAGGAGUGGAGCCUGCGGCUUAAUUUGACUCAACACGGGAAAACUCACCCGGUCCGGACACUGGAAGGAUUGACAGAUUAAGAGCUCUUUCUUGAUUCAGUGGGUGGUGGUGCAUGGCCGUUCUUAGUUGGUGGAGCGAUUUGUCUGGUUAAUUCCGAUAACGAACGAGACUCUAGCCUACUAAAUAGAUCCGAGCAUCUUCGGCUGCUCGGAAGCUUCUUAGAGGGACAAACGGCGUUUCAGCCGUAUGAAAAAGAGCAAUAACAGGUCUGUGAUGCCCUUAGAUGUCCGGGGCCGCACGCGCGCUACACUGAAAAAAUCAGCGUGCUCGCGUAACCUACUCCGAAAGGAGCGGGGAACCCAGUGAAACUUUUUCGUGAUUGGGAUUGGGGAUUGUAAUUAUUGUCCAUGAACGAGGAAUUCCCAGUAAGCACAAGUCAUCAGCUUGUGUUGAUUACGUCCCUGCCCUUUGUACACACCGCCCGUCGCUACUACCGAUUGGAUGUUUUAGUGAGGUCUUCGGACUUGUCAGUCUAGCGGUUUCGGCCGCCGGAUUCGACGGGAAAGAUGACCAAACUUGAACAUCUAGAGGAAGUAAAAGUCGUAACAAGGUUUCCGU